rnacentral:rRNA from 1 species
AUUGAACGCUGGCGGCAGGCCUAACACAUGCAAGUCGAGCGGAUGAAGGGAGCUUGCUCCUGGAUCCAGCGGCGGACGGGUGAGUAAUGCCUAGGAAUAUGCCUGGCUGUGGGGGAUAACGUCCGGAAACGGGCGCUAAUACUGCCUACGUCCUGCGGGAGAAAGUGGGGGAUCUUCGGACCUCACGCUAUCAGAUGAGUCUAGGUCGGAUUAGCUAGUUGGUGGGGUAAAGGCCUACCAAGGCGACGAUCCGUAACUGGUCUGAGAGGAUGAUCAGUCACACUGGAACUGAGACAGGGACCAGGCUCCUACGGGAGGCAGCAGUGGGGAAUAUUGGACAAUGGGCGAAAGCCUGGUCCAGCCAGGCCGCGUGUGUGAAGAAGGUCUUCGGAUUGUAAAGCACUUUAAGUUGGGAGGAAGGGCAGUAAGUUAAUACCUUGCUGUUUUGACGGUACCAACAGAAUAAGCACCGGCUAACUUCGUG